rnacentral:rRNA from 1 species
UACGUAGGGCGCAAGCGUUGUCCGGAAUUAUUGGGCGUAAAGAGCUCGUAGGCGGUUUGUCGCGUCUGCUGUGAAAACCUGAGGCUCAACCUCGGGCUUGCAGUGGGUACGGGCAGACUAGAGUGUGGUAGGGGAGACUGGAAUUCCUGGUGUAGCGGUGAAAUGCGCAGAUAUCAGGAGGAACACCGAUGGCGAAGGCAGGUCUCUGGGCCACUACUGACGCUGAGAAGCGAAAGCAUGGGGAGCGAACAGG